rnacentral:rRNA from 1 species
CCUGACGACCACAGCGACUGUGAACCACCCGACCCCAUCUCGAACUCGGUAGUGAAACCAGUCAGCGCCGAUGAUAGUGUGGCAUAUGCCAUGUGAAAGUAGGUCAUCGUCAGGC